rnacentral:misc_RNA from 1 species
GAUGAAGAACGUAGCGAAAUGCGAUACGUAAUGUGAAUUGCAGAAUUCAGUGAAUCAUCGAAUCUUUGAACGCACCUUGCGCCCUUUGGCUAUUCCGAAGGGCAUGCCUGUUUGAGUAUCAUGAAAACCUCAACUCUCAUGGCUUGCCAUGAUGAGCUUGGACUCUGGGGGUCUUGCUGGCUUUACGGUCAGCUCCUCUCAAAUAAAUCAGCUUGCCGGUGUUUGGUGGGAUCACAGGUGUGAUAACUAUCUACGCUUGUGGUUUUCCGCCAGGUAACCUUCAGCAAUGGAGGUUCGCUGGAGCUCAUAAAUGUCUCUCCUCAGCGAGGACAGAUUUUGACCGUUUGAUCUCAAAUCAGGUAGGACUACCCGCUGAACUUAAGCAUAUCAAUAAGCGGAGGA